GACGAACGCUGGCGGCGUGCUUAACACAUGCAAGUCGAGCGGUAAGGCCCUUUCGGGGGUACACGAGCGGCGAACGGGUGAGUAACACGUGGGUGACCUGCCCUCAGCUCUGGGAUAAGCCUGGGAAACUGGGUCUAAUACCGGAUAUGACCCCAUGACGCAUGUCGUGGGGUGGAAAGCCUUGUGCGGCUGAGGAUGGGCCCGCGGCCUAUCAGCUUGUUGGUGGGGUGAUGGCCUACCAAGGCGACGACGGGUAGCCGGCCUGAGAGGGCGACCGGCCAUACUGGGACUGAGACACGGCCCAGACUCCUACGGGAGGCAGCAGUGGGGAAUCUUGCGCAAUGGGCGAAAGCCUGACGCAGCGACGCCGCGUGAGGGAUGACGGCCUGGU
rnacentral:rRNA from 1 species